rnacentral:rRNA from 1 species
GAUGAACGCUGGCGGCGUGCCUAAUACAUGCAAGUCGAGCGAACGGACGAGAAGCUUGCUUCUCUGAUGUUAGCGGCGGACGGGUGUGUAACACGUGGAUAACCUACCUAUAAGACUGGGAUAACUUCGGGAAACCGGAGCUAAUACCGGAUAAUAUUUUGAACCGCAUGGUUCAAAAGUGAAAGACGGUCUUGCUGUCACUUAUAGAUGGAUCCGCGCUGCAUUAGCUAGUUGGUAAGGUAACGGCUUACCAAGGCAACGAUGCAUAGCCGACCUGAGAGGGUGGUAGGCCACACUGGAACUGGGACACGGACCAGGCUCCUACGAGAGGCAGCAGUAGGGAAUCUUCCGCAGUGGUCGGAAGCCUGACGGAACAGCGCCGCGUGAGUGAUGAAGGUCUUCGGAUCGUAAAACUCUGUUAUUAGGGGAGAACAUAUGUGUAAGUAACUGUGCACAUCGUGACGGUACCUAAUCAGAAAGCCACGGCUAACUACGUG